UCCCUGGUGGUCCAGUGGUUAGGAUUCUGUGCUGUCAAUACAGGGGUCUCAGGUUCAAUUCCUGGUCAGGGCA
rfam:Ovis aries breed Texel chromosome 14, whole genome shotgun sequence.